GGGAAGGUAGCUCAAUGGUAGAGUGCUUGCCUUGCAUGCAUGAGGUCCUGGGUUCAAUUCCUCAGCACCA
rfam:Dipodomys ordii contig_77327, whole genome shotgun sequence.